UUAUCUGUCCUCAUUUGUAAAUUGCUCGGCCUUAGGAAGCUUGUUUCUGAUUCAUGGCGUCACUCUUGGUCCUCAGCCUUAUUGUUCUCGCUCCGUUCUCUUCUUCCUUCACCGUCCGGCGCCCGACGAGCAUCUCCGGUCACUGCACCCCUUCGAGCGGUUGAGGUUUCCUUCACGAAGGCUCCGAUCGACGAUGCUAAGGAAUUCUUCGGUUCUCUUCGAUUUGCUUUGGCAUGCCCUGAAAGGAUGGAGACGCUCGUGGUGCCUCCUAAACAAUGGAAAGUUGAUGGCCCGCCGUAUUCCUGUCAAUCAGGCAGUCAAUUGGGGGGACUGUGGAGGUCUUCGACUCUCCAUAUGUCUUCCAGCAGAAAGGGCCAUACAAAUGGUGGCUUGUUUGGUGAGGCUUUAGCUGUAUGGUUGCAAGAGAUAUCUCUGUGCAAGGCGAGUUGUCGCUGCACGCAAAGUAUACCGGUUGUACUGUGUAAGUUCCUUGUAUGUUGGCGUAAGUAAUGCCUGAAACCGCCACAGCUGACGUUUGAUUCUUGCAUUUUUCUUUAUCGCAAUAGUAUUGGUCUAUCACGAUUGGAGUUUCAACUUCGGAAACUUGGAUGUUUGAGAACAUGAUAUUGUUUGCUGAACCUGAGCCUCCCUGCAGGAACAAAGAUUAGAUCACAUCACAAAGGUAUUAAUUUACACAACUUGGGGUCACUUAGUUUGAUCUCUCCUGUAAAUUCAGGAAGUGGUGCAGUGAGGAUAUUAGGUGCUAGAUGAGAACGAGGAAGUCUUGUCCUGGGAUAUGGGUUCCUUUACCUGCAAUGUCUUUAUUCUCACACCAGUCAUGGUGUUGCGCAUUACGGUGUUACGCACAGUCACAUUUGAGACGCAAGCUCUUGUGUUGCCGUUCCCUAGCCCUCCGAUGCUGAUGCCAUGUCCUGGCCCACAAUUUAUAUCAUGGAUAUAUAUGUUCGAGCAUCCAGUUUGUAUGGAAACACAAUCAUCCCCUGGAAUUUUUUUACAGCAUUCCAAAUGUCAGCAACAUUUUACCAUUUAAUCUGAGGUAGGCUUAUUUAGUUGUCACAUUUAUUGGCUUUGGCUAAGUUUGAACUCUCUUGUUUGUGGUAUAAUAGUGAUUGUCGAUUGUGCUGGCACUGUGAAAGUACAUGCUUCUCUAAAUGAGGAAUUACCACAAGCAAGGUUGCAGCUGUGAAUGAGCACAUUCUGGGAAUUUUGCAGGUGGAUACCAUCUGUGUUUGGGCUGUCACCAGGAGAUGAGACGCUAAUGUCGAAAACAUGAACAUUAGUACAAGAAUCAAACUUAAGGUGCAUCUUGGGGCUAUUUUGUAUAGUAAUGCCUGUAACUGUCACAUCAGUGCUGCCGUAGAACCUGAGUGCCUGCAUGCACAAGUUAUGUGUCAUGCGUGGGGUAAGAAAUAUCUGUCAGUGGGUCCACAUAACAUCUGUUGAGGCAUUUACCGUUGGCUUGGUCUUUGGCAUUUUACUCAGUUCCGCGCUAAUCUGCUUGUCAUGGUUAAAGACUUCAUUAGUUUUUAUAGUAACUGCCAUUGCGUUUGGACAUAGUGUCAUUCAUGUGAGAGCCUGUCAAACCUGGGUGCUUACCAUAUUAUUCAGUUCAUUGGCUCUAUUUUGGCCUGUGGAGGGGAUGUUUUGUGAUGUAUCUGUCCCAGCGUAGACUGCUGCAUCCUUCCACCAAACUGAGCCUUGUCCGUCAAUGAUGCCUUCCCCUUUUAUAGUAAUCUCGGUAAGCUUAGUGAAUUCGAUCCAUUGUAAGAAACCUGAUCCCCAAGCUUUUGCGCUUGUGGGAGCAAUUAUCUUGCCAUCCAACUGUGGGAAAAUGACCAGCUUCUUAUAAAAAAUGCAUUGCUCAACAAAUACUAGCUGUUAAAUUGAUUUCUGCUAUAUUGAGAUUUAUCUGUAUGAUGAUUGACGUGACAUUCACCUGGAAUAUAAUUUUAGGUUUACAAUUUGGCCCUGCAAAAGAAAUUGGGCUGAGGAGAAAUAUGGAUCCGGAUGGGACGAGAAUUGUUGAUGCUUCAACUUUACAAGCGGCUGCCCAUGCUGCGAGGAAUGCCUGCCAUAAUGACAGAUUAGUCCUAAUUUUGAGUCGAUACAUGGAAGAUAUCGAGUACAAUUUUCAGAGUGACACAUGAACAGGCAUGGGCGCAGGUGCUGGUGGCUUAGGCUUUGGCUUGGGAGCGGGGGCAGGCACAGGCAUGGGUGCUGGUGGCUUAGGCUU